GCAGGACUGACCAGCGGCCAGCACCCAGGCUGUGUCUCUUCACCCGCUCCCCGAGGCUCUUCGUACUAUGAAGGUCUUGGCUUCAGCAUGAAUUCACAGAUCGAGCUGAAAUUGUUCACAGCUACUGAGCUCACUGCGCCUAGGACCUGAUACACUCAGCAAAAGGCAGAAGAUUUCCAACAUCUGCCUUCAAUAGUCCAUACAUUUUACAGACCCUCAAUUUCUGUAAAAAGCAAAUGGAUCUAACUAUGCUAUUUCCUAACAUUUGACAGCUGUGGGACUG